UAAAGAAUUCAUAUUUUCAAAAGAAAGGGCUGUUAUUCUAAGGAGUCGCCUAUACAGAAAAGGAAGCAGUAAAACAAAAGAAAUAUACGUCAAAAAUGACGUAGCCACUUGAGUUGAUUCAGUCAUUAGUAAACUAUACAGGGAUGAUCGUCAUCACAGCAGCGUUUCUUUAUCUUCUUUUCCAUAUAUUUCCACUCAAGAUGUAAUAAGGAAAGUGUUCCCACGUGCUGCCGUGCGUGCGUGUGGAGACUUUACUUUGAAGCAUCGUCCAGCAGACACGCCCGUGUUGAGAGCAAAUGAUUGAAUGUGUAACGAUUUCAUGGUUUUGAUAAUUGGAAAUGUUUUCUGAUUAGGAGUAUUCCCUUAUGUUUGCGUGUGUGUGUAUGUGUGCUGUAUCUAUGCAGUUUGUCUAGUUUAAUGCAGUUUGAGAGGCGUAACUUAGUCCUGACUCACAGAGGCGACAAGAUUUCAGGAAGUAAUUAUCUUCGUAACCCCCCAACAUGUAGGUUUUGUUCCUUUGUUUUUUGGCUUACUCUAACUUUUAAACAAAUGAGAUAUAAAGUGUUAAAUAAUGAGCUUAAGAAGGGCAGACAGGCAGAUUUUCUUUAUCUUUGGACUAGUCUUGCAUAACCAGAUCUCCAGAGUGCUGCAUCAACACUGGAGAAAAGUCUGUACUUGUAUCAUCAUGGUAAAAAAGGGAAAAAUGCACUGACUCAUAUGCAUAGCUGAUUGCUGGGAGCUUGGAGCAACCGGAGGAGUGUUGCUGUUUGCACUGUUAGCACAGGAGCCUUAGAGGUGAGCCCUGUCUGUAAAAAUGUCUACACCCCCAUAAAAGAAAAGGUAAGAGCUGCUAGCUUUUUAGGUAUGUACCGUUAGCAACCAGGUAAACAUUAGGGAAAAUAGCUUGGAUGUUGUUGUCGUUCUGUAUAGUGACUAGGAUUUGAAAACUAUAACAUGCAGAUAGUGGAAGAGGGGUAACUAGGCGCCCAAUGGCAGGUUUAUACCCACAGACUACAUAUGGUGAGUCAGACUACCUUUUGAUAGGACCAGGCUAGCUGUUUCCUGUUUUUUGUGCUAAGCUAAGCUAAUCACCUGCUGGCUGUACCAUUAAAUUUAACAUGCAAACAUGGGAUUCGUAUCAACCUUUUUAUCUAACUCUCAGACUGAAGGCAAUUUUUUUUUUUCACCGAAAAUGUCCAACUAAUUCUUAAGGGCUCUGUGGACCUUCUGUGUUCUUUUUAUGUCCUGUCAAAACAAUCAUGAUUAUUAUGUGUAAAUUGCUACAAAUUGUUACAUAGAGCCUUUCCAGUGAUUGCUUAUAGACAUAGAAAAUCACCUUUAAGUCUCAUUUAUCAGAGACUGUCACUGUCAACGUGAAAUCCAGUCUCUGUUAGUCAAGGUUAAGUGAUAGUAAAGUGGAACAUUCAAGCGAAAAAGUUUUAUCAGACCUUGCAGAAUCAUUACCUAUCACCUGGUUCAUCACUUUGGUCUUUAAUAGUGUUUCUCCAUCCUCAGUAAUGUAACACAAGCAUGUUUGACCCUAUUUAAGUUCAGACUAAGGAUCUUUCAUCUCCACUCAGUGACCAGCGAGCUAUUUUUUUUAAGCUGAUUACUGUAAUAACCCGUAAAAGUUAUGCCUCUGUUUCUCAGAAACGACGGCUCUCUUUUCACUGCCCAUUGUCAUUUACGAUCUAGAUCCACGAUGUGAAUGUGGACUCCUACAGUUGAAAUAGACCACAAACAGCGGGGGACUUUGUGCAGACAAUGAGCCCUCUGCAAAUACACUCUAUAAAUGAUCUUGUGAACCUCUUGCCCUUGCCAGCACGCACUGAAACACAUACAAGGCUUAGACAAUGCAUAAAUAUAUCUUAACAUAUGUCACACGCAAUGCCAGUUUAUGUAUCAGUUACAUAGGAAUGAUUUUGACUGGCUUCGAUGUAGAGACAUAAUCAACUUAAAGUCCAGAUUAUGCAAGAUGGACAAAAUAGACCAAACUCAACAAAGAAAUGAUCCCAAUUCUGAUCUUUUCGAAACGAUAAAGGCCUCACAUUGAUUUAGCCUGACAGCCCUCAGGAGCUUCCAGGAAAUGUGACUGAGAAAGUAUCGAACACAUGUCCGUCAGCAGCUGCAGCAAAGGAGCUGUUUUCUCCAUAAGUCAGAAGUGGAGACUGGGCCAGUUAACAAUAACAGGGCAGCUUGCCACACCGCAGUGUUGUGUAACCUACAAGCAAGCACGAAGUUUGGGAAAUUUCUGCUCGCCUGUGUUCAUGAAUGGGAGCGAACAAGGACCCUCAAAAAGUCAUUCUCUAACCACAUUUGUUCUAUGUUUUUCGGAUUCGCUCGAAGUUAGCAUUUCACUUAAUUGUGUAAUGUCAACACACUUGGUAGUAUUGAGCAAUCUCACUCCCUCCCUUUUUCUUUCACUCAGUUUCACACACUCCGUCGGUGAUGGGAUAAACAGGCCUCCAUAACAGCACCCCGAGACAAGUUAAACACCCUCCUAUGCCCCUGUAAAGCAGUGACACUAUAAAGACCGCCAAAUGGCCUGAGAUAAAUGGCAAGGAGGUUCAUGUUUACGUCCAUUUCAAAGCAGCCAAUAGAUCUGGGAGGUAUUUCGGUGCAAAUAUAAGCCACAUGUGAGAUCUGAGGGUCUGAGUCAAACUUCAAAUACCUUCCCAGUGAAGGGCAUGAGAAGCCACAUGAGGUCAACGUUUGGCACCGCGAUCAUUCACUUCCCUCCGCUGCUCACACCUUCAUCAUAUGCACACAUGUGAGGACGCAGGAGCAUGCACAAACCCUACAUGUGACAUGUGACUCCUUUGAAACUCGAACCCGAAGGCCAGCAUCAGUCAGGUUUGUAGUUCUUGGAACACUCUGACCAAUGCUAGAUGAUCAAUUUUGAUUAUACCAACACUCCAUUAUUAAAAAUCUAAAAUGAGUCCAGAUGAGAUGGUGGGACAAAACCGUGGGUGCCGGGUCAUUCUGGAUGGGAGACGGAGCCCAGUCGGUCUCAGCAGGUGGGAGAGACAGGGUGCCAGACUCUGGCUCCAGCCUCAGAUCCAGCUCUGCUCCUGGGGCUGAGGAGUGGACUGAGGAUCCUGUCUCUGCAGGAAGUCAUAACCAGCAACACCUGAAAGCUGUCCUGCUUCAUUCCGGUUAAAAUGUGAUAUUGGUUUAGUCCUGGUGUGUUUCCCUGCGUGCUGCCUCUUGUCUGUGUUGCCAUUUUAACUCUCUGUGAAGAGUCUAGCUUUCAUGUGCAGCACCAUGUCUAAACGGACUCAGCAUCAUCUCAGACCCCCAUUACAACCCCACUCAGACUCUGUGGCACCAGAGCCAUCAGUGUGUCUGUCUGUGAGUGUGUUUGUAGAACACACAUUGACACUGACAACACAUGGCAGUUCACACACAAAAUGCCUCAAAUAUCUGUCAUGAUGAUGGAAGUGCUGGACACUUCAGGGGACGAGGACUUCUUGUUAUAUUAUAAUAAUCUUAUUUGAAAAACAUGUCAGUGGGCUAAAUUUAGAGAAUAACAUGUAUGCAUAAGCUGUUUUAGACACUUUGUAACGCUACAUAACACAUGCAUACUUGAAGAAACACAUUUCAAAGGUGGCUCGGAAACUAUAGGGGGCAGCAUAACCACAAACAGCUGCUCACGAUACUGGACUUGUUUACCAUACUGUGGUGUAGCUAUCUUCAGCUGUAGUGACAGCAGCCGAGGUAAGUGGCCCUUUUUAGUCUAAGUAAUGAACUCACUGCUUUUACAUCCUCUAGCUGAAACUAUGAGGGGCUGUCAGAUCACCUCUUGCAGUGCAAAGUUCAUAACACGGGAUAGCUGGGGCUAGCUGGUUAGCAUGCUUACUUCUGCAGAUAUUUCUGCAACAACUCACUCAGUGUCCCUCAGCUCUAUGGAGUGUUUUGGCUAAUGUUUAGAUUUUUUAAGGGCCCAUAACGUUGAUACAACUGGAGCCUUUUUCCAGGAACAUAGCUCUGAUAAACCAACCUUACCAGCACCAAAUGGCAGACAAACAUUUAUAGUGGUGCAUUUUAUUGAUAAACAGCCAGAUAUAUAUUUUUUUUGGUGGUGGAGACCAAAACCGAGCAAAUAAGUAGGUGAAUACUGGACUUGCUUUCAGUUACAAGGUCACCAGAAACAUAAGUCUAAAUUAAAGACGUUUAAUGGGGGAUUUGUUUGCUUGCAUUUUUAACAUAACUACAAGUGGUCAGUGGUCUGUUGACAGGUUGUUGCCCUUCCUCAAGUGGCUGAAAUCCAGCAUUUCUACUUUAAAAGCCAUUGUUUGUAUGAGAACUGUAACACUUAUUUUAAAUUCUGUCUGUUAAGAAUGCCAAAGAAUCUAAAAUGAAUUCCAUAAUGCACAGGGUGUCAGCCAUUAUCUCUUUUUUUUUGGUGGUGGUAUCUAAGACCACCAUGGUUGAGACCCUGAAGAGAAUUUAUGGCGAGGACAGUGGCUUAUUUAACAAGUCACAUCCUGUUUAUCAAGAAUGAAAUGUCAAUAGUUCACAGUUAACUCGCAAUUCAGAAAGUUUCUACGAAAGGGCUUUUGUGCGAUGGUCUGUGUGUGUGUGUGCAUGUGUGUUUGUGCUUUUCCUUUCAGCAUGUGUGCAUUAGCUCAUCCAAAUGAGUAAUAAGUAGCCGGAAGCCAUAAAAGUACAGAGUUGACUCAUCUAGGUCUGACGGCCCCGAAGGCUGUCCCGAAGACGAGAGUUCAGAAACAGAAAAUCACUCAAACUACACAACAACACAACACAACACCAUCUUAGCUCAGCUCUCAACAUGCAAAGAUUCCCCAUUCUUUCUGUCAUGCAGACGAUACAAUGGACCAAGUGUAUACGCUUGUUUUCAGAUUUACUGACAACCUCUGUACUGCAACAACCAUGGAACAACCAUGGAAGGCUCAACUUCCAUGGUUGUUGCUCUCCAUGGACUGUAGACUGUAGACUGCAGUUUAGACUGAUGAAUCCUGACUGCAGAAUGUCUCACUUCCAGAAAACUCAAGUUAAACACAGAUAUUUUUAACAGCGCUCCUGGCUGUACAACCACAGUUGAGGAGCCAAUUAUUUAGUUGAACUCAUCUCUGACUACAAGAAAUAGGUUUCUUUUUGAGUCUGCUGAACCACACUAGCUUACUUUCAGUUGUUAACAGCACCCAUGUUACACCAUCAGAUGAAAAACAACAAUUCAAAUCCCUCACCUCUUCACAGAUCUCCCACAGAUCCCCUCACCAAAAAUGAUGAUUCUAUUUUUGCUAAAUUCCAAUAAGGAGUCCCUGAACUGCACUUAACAGUGCAAUAUUUAAGAAUUGGCCACCUGUUGAGCCCAUACUCCCAACAAACAGAGGCAGCAUAUCACUCGAGAAGGUAGCUGCUGCUAAAUAUAAAGCUUAAUUAGCUGUGCAUGCAGCUAGCUGGAGAAUUAGUGUUAAUACCACGAGCACAGGUGCUUUGGUCCUUCACAUUUUUUUGUGUGUUUUUUUUCACAGUUGCAGAGAUGUGGCUUUAUUGAUAGAACAGCUGAAGACGUGACAGGAAACAGGCUGAAAGAUGGGGAGUGACAUGCAGCAAAGGGCCGCAGGCCGGGACCCGAACCCGAGGGCACUGCAGCGAGGACAGAGCCUCUGUACAUGGAACGCCUGCUUUACCCACUGAGCUAAACGGCAGGUAUCAGUUCUUGGACUUUAUUAGCAGUUAAACUCAACAGAAACUGCAUAACAUCAAUCCACCAAUCACAACCGAAGAACACUCGCUGAUAUUUUAGAAUGUUGCUGAACAUUCUAAAAGAGCAAAGCCUUUUGAGGCUUUGAAAUCAUCACAAGACAUUAAUAGGCUUCAUUUCAUUUACAUUUCUUUUACGUUUCAUUUACUGAACAACGAAGUGACACACAGAGCACCGACUCUAACAAACGCGGAGACAUGAAGAGAGAGGAGAACAACCCGGUGUCCAGCCAAGCUAGCACCAGCCAGGAGGAGAACCUUUUGCAAGAAAAUAGCGACUUGCACCGAGGAAGUGAUCCACAGAGCACAGGUUCAGAAAUCACAACCAGAUGACAACAACCGAGGACAUUAUAAUCACUCCCAGGUUAAAGGGGCAAUACGUAACAAGUGGCCACCUUGAAUUCAUCCUGCCAACAAAUAGGGGUUGUUAGCUGUGCAACUGGCCGGCCUGCCGGGGAAGUCCUGGUGUUCACACUGCAGGUACAGGAGCUUUGGACCACUGGGACAGAGAGAGGUUUUCAGGCCCGGCGCUAGCUGGUUAGCAUGCUAACGUCAGUAGAUAUCGCUACAACACAGUGCAUGGUCGUCUUCGUUGUAACAUCAACACUGUUAUUUCUUCACAUUCUGUUGAUAAUCUUCGCUCAGUUUACGUAUUGCCCCUUUAAUAUCUGUCAAUAAUAAAAUCAGUUCAGCACAUUAUUCGACUGUGUCCGGCUAGUCUGCCGAGUGGGAACCUACAUGAUCUUCCCUCAGUGUUACAUCACAGGUUUAUCGCGGGGUCGCAGGUGGAUCUGGACGGGAAAAUCAAAACAUCCCUCGACAAAACGCAGUGGAUUCCUUGUGGAGAACGUGGAUACAGAACAUCCUUAUGAUUCUAAUAUCAGCGAAUGUGUAGGGAGACGAGGAAGCGGCUAUUUUUGAGAGCGGCGCAAAAGGACCUUGGCUGUGUUUAUAGAGUGUGUGUGUGUGUAUGUGUAUACGAAAUGAGCAUGUGAAUGUGUAUGUGUGAGACUGUUCCAUAGGCGUGUCCGUCACGCCACUGGUGACCCUCAGAUUCCCUCCUGUGCGACGUCAUGUCACUUCCCCCCUUUGUUUCCCCGCUCAAGAGGACCUUUCUAAAAAUGUCUUUUUGUUUAAAGGUUCUCAACAGCCCUCCUUCCUCCUUUGCUUGGCAGUGUUGUGUGUGUGUGUGUGUGUGUGUGUGUGUUCUUACAUUAGUGAUACCUUAUAUAGUUGCUGCCAAAAACAGGAACUGUUGAGAUGCAGAUGAGGAUGCUGAUGGGUGUGUAUUUUCCCCUCCGGUUUGUAUCCUAUAUACAGUCAAGGAUCCUGUUUCAUAACACACUCUGGAUGUGGUGAGGUGCAACGGUGCAGACCUGCUGUUACCACACACGUUAUUUGAAGUGUGACACAAAGUCUCUAACAUGAUGUACCUCCCACACUGUGGCAUUCACCUCUGCACACAGUGACCUCUGGUCCCGACCACAUCGGCGUUGGGACACAAAGCGUCUCCUGAGUCUUUUUAGGAACUGGCAAUGAUAUUCUGACAGGCAUGAUGUAACCCUCUCUCUGGGUCACCGUGACAAUGUCGAGGUGUUGCAGCAAGGACACAGUGAAACAGUGUUAAAACGUUACGGGAUUUCAUCAAUUUCAAUGGGGUUCAGUGAUACUCAGAAACUGGCCUCCGCGUGCACAAACCUACACUUAACUUGAAGUCCAAGGGAAGCACACAUGCUUCUUUCCUUGAUGGAAAGUGGCUUUUGUCCAGGUAAAUAAGUCACUUCCAGAUUUCCAACACUUCCAAAAGUUUCCUCACUGUCGCGGACCAACAAUAAAAACUGGCACUGCUCCAUUCAGAGGCAGAGGUGUAGGCGGGAGAGCUGAUAAGCCAGCGUCAGGGGACCAGUCGAGACCAAGCCCUGCCCUGCCUUUGUGACAGCGACUGUGCAGACUGACCGUGUGUGGGCUGUGUGUGUAGACUGUAUAGUUAGUAUUAGUCAAAAUCUAAGAGUUCGUAAAUUGCCUUCCGAAAUAACAACUGGUAUGAGUGUGUUCUGAUUAUUAAGACUUGUCUGGGUGACUAAAACUACUUGGUACAGAGGACUUUGGCCACCACCAGACAAUAACAUCAACAUCGUACCAAUGAAUCACAUUCAUUUCCCAUGCAGCUACUUUAAAAAUCACAAAAAUGAUCACAGUAGAGUGCAUACCUCCGCCAAGGCCCAACGAUCUCCUUUUGUAUUCACUCACUGAAACCAGCCACCUAAAUAUGCCUCAGUGACUUAGUAUCAAUACAUUGUUCCCUUAGAAAUUAACAAAAAUUUUGGAAAAAAGCAACGAAAAAAGAAGAAAGAAAAUAUUCUUGGAUGUGUCCUUUUAUCCGGAUCCGCCCCCAAAAGUUAAUAAGGUCUAUUCUGUGCUGAGCCCAUCCUCCAUCCAGAUUUCGUGGAAAUCCCUUUGGUUGUUUUUGUGUAAUCCUGCUGACAAACCAACCAAACAAACAACAAACGGACGGAAAACAUUACCUCCUUGGCGGAGGUAAUAGUUCCUCACAAUACAGGGAUGUUGACUGGAGGCCAUGUGACUUACUGUCACCGAUUUCAACAAGACCACAAGAGGUCGCUUGUAAGGAAAACACAAAUGGUUUUGCUUUUGAGCACUUGAGCAUCGAUGCUGUUCUUCCGGGUGAGGACUUUUUCUCCUAACCUGUGGCCUCAGUUUUGGUAUCAUCAAAGGUUAAAAGUGCACGUUAACUGUAAAGGUGUGUGUGUGUGUGUGUGUGUGCUGCUUGUGUUUGUGAGAUAUGCAACAUACAGAAAAAAAUAAUAUUAAUAGAGAUUUUGUGAAACUGUGAGUCCACUGUCAUCGUCUCCUGUCAUCUCUCGCCCUCUCUUCCCCUUCAUCCCCUUUGACUCACGUCCAUGCAGUCAACAGGGGAUCCUAUCUUCGUAUCUUCCUCGUCUGGCAUGCCAUCCGGAAACUCAAUCCCAACCGAGCAGCUUCCCACCCAGCUUUCUUAAAGGCCAUCAUAGUCCAUUGCUCUAUUUACAGGCCGGUUCUUGCGAGCCAUUGUGCUGCACACUCCUUCUGCAAGGAGCUCUUCAUUCGUGCCACACUCAGUCAUGUCAGGAAAUACGACUGAAUGAACAGUAAUUGUUCAAUAUUUCAGUGAGCUUCUUUGAACAGCGGUGCAGGGAAGAAUCUUUGGAAACUGUGUCGUCGGCAUUAGGACCUCCUUUAAGAGACAGUUUGGAAAGGGAAGAUUCACGACGUCAGGAACAUUAAAGCGUUACUGCGUCAUCUUGGGAAACCAAAAACUCCUCCCCCUCAAGCACGGCUGAGUUUCCACAGCGGCCCUGGACUUUGAUUCUGAGCACGAAGAAGGGGACAGGAGAGGUGUGACGUGGGAGAGGAGCGAGUUUGUAGCGAGGAAAGUUCAUCCACCAAGUUCCUGAGUAUUUGUUCUUGUGAAACUGAGGAUUACUUCUCAAUAUGUUUUAACAGCAAGACUUGUAAUUUAAAAUGAAUGCACAUUCAAAUGAAUCAUAAAAAAAACAUAUAUGUACUGGAAUCACUGACGUUACCGCUAAUGGCUUUAACAUUAACAAACGUCACGCUUCAUCGGAACCCCCCCAAUUUCAUUUUGUUAAAUACAUUAAUCUCAUGAAUGUGACAAAGAUUCAUCUAUAGAAAUUAUCUGUGACACCCCAGUUGAACUAAUGAUAA